rnacentral:rRNA from 1 species
GUCUACGUCCACACCACCCUGAACACGUCCAGUCUCGGAAGCUAAGCAGGGUAGGGCCUGUUAGUACUUGGAUGGCGAAGAAU